CAUUGAGUACAUUGGUACAUUGAGGUUUGAUGCAAUAAACAAAUAAAGGUGAGGAUGGAACAAUUAAACUGAUGGAGACUAUUAUUCAAUGUUUUAUAAUUCUCUGGAAGGAAGUGUGUGGUUUCCUCUGCAUCAUGCUGAAACCUAUAGUUUGAUGACCCACUUGACAAACAAGAAACAAUGGAGAAAGUCAUUUUCAUCUUCUGUGUAUUUUCUUAUUGGAUUAUGCAAAUCAUGUCCAAUGCACCAGAAUCUUCUGAUCUUUUAAAAGUUCAGACGGGAGAAAACAUCAUUCUGAACUGCAGCAUGAUAGACAGAUAUGAAAUCACCUGGUUUCACCUCAAUUCUGAAAAACUCAAACUACUGAUUUCUGCAAAAAAAGACAAAACUGGAAGAAAACUCCUGAUAAUCUACAAGCAAAACUGUACUCGUCUGAGCAUUACUGCAGACAGUUGGGUCACCACGGUCUCUCUUAUUAUUUCUGGAGCAACAGAGUCAGAUUUGGGUUUUUAUUUUUGUGGAACAAAGUCUAACUCUCCAGAGAUGCUCUUCGACAAAACCAUCAAACUGGAGAUUGACGGACUUUUUGUAACAGAAGAGUCGAAAGAAGUUGUUGACAUCACAGAUGAGGUGACCACAAAAGAGCGUGUGCUGAUGUUCGGUGGUGUUGGUCUGGCUGUGUUUGUGUUUUUUCUGACUACAGUCAUCGCAGGAGGAAUCAUUUACCAUCGCGGCUGGCAGAAAGGAUUGAAAGAAGCAAAACAUGAAGGUCUAGUUAAUUAAAAAUCAACUAAAUAGCAUUAAUUUCAGCUUUUUUAUACCAUCUAACUCAAUAUAUCUGUUAAAAUUACUGUCUCAUUUCCCCUAUUUUGUGUUUUAGAAUACUUAUGUUGAUAUAUAUUUUCUGUUCCCAUUGUUCUUGUGUUUUACUUCCUGUUUUUGCCUCAUUUCCUUAGUUCCUGGUUUGCUUCCAGAGUUACCCUCAUUAUUCUCCAUAGCAACCCAGUUUUUUCCCAUAUUCUUUGUCUGGUAUUGUCAUUGAUUUAAUUGAAUGGUUAUUAAUUCAGCAUACAUAAACAAUAUUCAAGCUAAGAGUUGUAUGUUUUACACAACUGCAGUUUUUACAUGUAGAGAAUGAGCUGAAAAAGAACAGCACACAUAUGCUUUAAUAUCAUUAGGCUGUAUCUUUAGACAUUAAGGGCCCUAUUUUAACGAUCUAAGCUCAUGGUCUAAAGCGCACAGCUCAGGUGCACUUAGGCCGUGUUCGAAUCCGCUUUUGCUAGUUUAACGGCGGGAAAAAUGGUUGCCGCAUGGUCCAAGAGGGUUGUCCCUAUUUUCUUAAUGAGUCAUGGGUGUAUGUUUGGGCGUAACGUGCAAUAAACCAACCAGAGUCCCAUCUCCCAUUCCCUUUAAAAGCCAGGUGUGCUUGCACCAUGGCGGAUUCGCUAUUUACAUGGAGGAAUUUGCAAGCAGAAAAACUGAAUGCUACUCUAGCAAGGAAUCCUUUUAUUUUUAAUAUUUGGCAUGUUUGUGUGCUGCUGCGCAUCCCUGUUUGUGUAAUAAUCAGAGUGUACGCAUGUUGUGCACCCGUCUAUAGGCACAUAUUACUAAUGCACCCUUUAAAUUAAAAAAAAAUACUGCGCCAUUGACUUUAGACCAGGUUUUUGUUGGUCAGUGGUGCAGUCAUUUUCAGUUCCUCAAAAUAGCAACAUGCCAACAAUUCGCCUGAACACACCUCGUUUUCAGACCAGCAUGGCCAUGGACAAACAGAUCGGCAUGAGUGCAUUUGCUAUUUAAAGAAUGUGGCGCUGGACGUGAAAAUGAUAACUGUGUUGGGCUGAAACUAGCAAAAAACACUUGUGUCAUGUCUGGCGUGUAUGAUAGGGCCCUAUAUAUUUAUCUGGACUGAGAAGCAUUAAACCUGUUUUCAGGAGAAAAUAUAAAUGCAAACUGUUUUAUGACACAUGUAAGCUUGAUUAAAAUGUCAACAGAUGUCUUCAAUGAUGAAUGUGUUGUUGAGUGAUCUGAUCAAAUAAACAGAAAUAAAACUAAGAAAUUAUA